rnacentral:rRNA from 1 species
CCUACGGGAGGCAGCAGUGGGGAAUAUUGGACAAUGGGCGAAAGCCUGAUCCAGCCAUGCCGCGUGUGUGAAGAAGGCCUUCAGGUUGUAAAGCACUUUCAGUGGGGAAGAAAGCCUUGGGGCUAAUACCCUCGAGGAAGGACAUCACCCACAGAAGAAGCACCGGCUAACUCCGUGCCAGCAGCCGCGGUAAUACGGAGGGUGCGAGCGUUAAUCGGAAUUACUGGGCGUAAAGCGCGCGUAGGCGGUCUGAUAAGCCGGUUGUGAAAGCCCCGGGCUCAACCUGGGAACGGCAUCCGGAACGGUCAGGCUAGAGUGCAGGAGAGGAAGGUAGAAUUCCCGGUGUAGCGGUGAAAUGCGUAGAGAUCGGGAGGAAUACCAGUGGCGAAGGCGGCCUUCUGGACUGACACUGACGCUGAGGUGCGAAAGCGUGGGUAGCAAACAGGAUUAGAUACCCUGGUAGUC